rnacentral:rRNA from 1 species
GAUGAACGCUGGCGGCGUGCCUAAUACAUGCAAGUAGAACGCUGAAGGAAGGAUCUUGCUCUUUCCGGAUGAGUUGCGAACGGGUGAGUAACGCGUAGGUAACCUGCCUGGUAGCGUGGGAUAACUAUUGGAAACGAUAUCUAAUACCGCAUAACAGUAGAUGUUGCAUGAUAUCUACUUAAAAGGUGCAAUUGCACCACUACCAUAUGGACCUGAGUUGUAUUAGCUAGUUGGUGAGGUAACGGCUCACCAAGGCGACGAUACAUAGCCGACCUGAUAGGGUGAUCGGCCACAAUGGGAAUGAGACACGGCCCAGAAUCCUACGGGAAGCAGCAGUAGGGAAACAUCGGACAUAGACGGAAGUCUGACCGAACAACGCCGCGUGAGUGAAGAAGGUUUUCGGAUCGUAAAGCUCUGUUGUAAGAGGAGAACGAGUGUGAGAGUGGAAAGUUCACGCUGUGACGGUAUCUUAACAGAAAGGGACGGCUAACUACGUG